AUGUGGAUGUUUUACAUGUCUAAAAUAUAUAAGGUGAAUAAACUACUCUUCAUCAGCUCACCUUUUUACAUAAACAAAGAGAAACCAUAAAAACCUUAAUUUCGCCCUUCAUUCAAGUGUUCGGUUCAUGUGAAUAUCAGCGACUCAUCAGUCCUCAUUCCGAAUCAAACUGUUUCAUCAGUUCAGUGACUGUUGGAGGAACUGUAUGAUUCAUUCAUCACAGGAUCAGAUAUGCUGGUAUUUCUGCUCAUUUCCAAUCUGAGUGACUGUCAGGCAUCUGUAAGUGAGUUUUGAUUGAGUAACUUGUAGAUCUGUGCUCCUUUAGCUGUGAACUGUUUCAGACAUUUCAAUCUGAUUUGGUGAACCGAUUCAACUAGUUCACUGAAAAGAACCGGUUCAGAAGAAUGAUUCGUUUGUGAACUGGACAUCACUCCGGACUGUUUGUCUGAGGCUCUGGAUUACAGGCAGCCGCUGACUUGCAUUUUAUGAAUCUCCAAGGACCACAGUUUCAGCUAAAAAUCUUCUUUACUGUUAUACUGAAGAAAAAAAAUUACCUACAUCUUGCGGGUCUUAGAGCUCAGAAGGUGCUGCUCCAGCAGUGCUGUCAGACCCGGUUUCACCUGCUGUCUCCCUCUGAAGCUCCUCACACAAACGCACACAUCCUAAAUUGUGGCGCCGCAGGGGAAAUGUGCCACACCACCACUGAGCUGGAACCCAAAACUAAUUAUUCCCUUAAUCCGGCCAGAAGAGAGAUGGAGA
ensembl:lncRNA